UAUUAGUACUCCGUAGUCCGUACCAUAAUGUAAACAUUAUGAAACCUUUGUUUUUUUGGUUAAAAUGAAACUUUUGUUUCUGUUUUGCGAGACCCAAAGACAAAAAACAAGCUAUACAAUUGUAGCAGAUGAUGACAACACAAAUAUGGGCAAUAUCCAUUGAAAUCUUCUGGCCUUAAUGAUGGGAUCUAGCUAAUGGAGCUUUUUACAUCACAUUAAAUUCAAUGUAAGUGAGGUCGCCAUUUGUCACCUUUCGGAAAUUUAUGGUUUGCAGAUGAAGGACUUGGUAAUUGACUUGAAAUCACUGUGAAAACUCUUCAUUAUCUCCAUAAUAGACAAUGAUUUUCAACCUUUUGAGACGACGUUAUCUUUGUGGUCGGUCAACGUCAGAAAGUUGGGCAUUUGAGCAUUUUUUAAGAAGCCGUACCUGCCAAAACCAACAGUGAAUCAUUGGCAUGUACCACCCUUGCCCCCAUGGACCAUCCCCCCCUUUCCCCGGUAUGUGCAUAGCAUAAAAGUAAGUAAAAAACUUUUGAGUAUUAGUACUCCCUCUCUUUCUCUAGGCCACAUGACUUAUUUAAGCCAUUAACAAAGAAAUUCAAAGAAAGAGUACAUAGGCAUGGUGAAAGUUUAAACACUUUAACAGUGAAAUUCAAAUCCAUGAAUAUACAUGCCAUUGUCUGGAUUUAUGUAACAAUUUUCUGAUCCCUGCUUAAAUUACAAUAUCCCAAUUGCU